CAUAGGUUAAUGAGGCGAACCGGGGGAACUGAAACAUCUAAGUACCCCGAGGAAAAGAAAUCAACCGAGAUUCCCCCAGUAGCGGCGAGCGAACGGGGAGGAGCCCAGAGCCUGAAUCAGUGUGUGUGUUAGUGGAAGCGUCUGGAAAGGCGCGCGAUACAGGGUGACAGCCCCGUACACAAAAAUGCACAUAUUGUGAGCUCGAUGAGUAGGGCGGGACACGUGGUAUCCUGUCUGAAUAUGGGGGGACCAUCCUCCAAGGCUAAAUACUCCUGACUGACCGAUAGUGAACCAGUACCGUGAGGGAAAGGCGAAAAGAACCCCGGCGAGGGGAGUGAAAAAGAACCUGAAACCGUGUACGUACAAGCAGUGGGAGCCUCUUUAUGGGGUGACUGCGUACCUUUUGUAUAAUGGGUCAGCGACUUAUAUUCUGUAGCAAGGUUAACCGAAUAGGGGAGCCGAAGGGAAACCGAGUCUUAACUGGGCGUUAAGUUGCAGGGUAUAGACCCGAAACCCGGUGAUCUAGCCAUGGGCAGGUUGAAGGUUGGGUAACACUAACUGGAGGACCGAACCGACUAAUGUUGAAAAAUUAGCGGAUGACUUGUGGCUGGGGGUGAAAGGCCAAUCAAACCGGGAGAUAGCUGGUUCUCCCCGAAAGCUAUUUAGGUAGCGCCUCGUGAAUUCAUCUCCGGGGGUAGAGCACUGUUUCGGCAAGGGGGUCAUCCCGACUUACCAACCCGAUGCAAACUGCGAAUACCGGAGAAUGUUAUCACGGGAGACACACGGCGGGUGCUAACGUCCGUCGUGAAGAGGGAAACAACCCAGACCGCCAGCUAAGGUCCCAAAGUCAUGGUUAAGUGGGAAACGAUGUGGGAAGGCCCAGACAGCCAGGAUGUUGGCUUAGAAGCAGCCAUCAUUUAAAGAAAGCGUAAUAGCUCACUGGUCGAGUCGGCCUGCGCGGAAGAUGUAACGGGGCUAAACCAUGCACCGAAGCUGCGGCAGCGACACUAUGUGUUGUUGGGUAGGGGAGCGUUCUGUAAGCCUGUGAAGGUGGCCUGUGAGGGUUGCUGGAGGUAUCAGAAGUGCGAAUGCUGACAUAAGUAACGAUAAAGCGGGUGAAAAGCCCGCUCGCCGGAAGACCAAGGGUUCCUGUCCAACGUUAAUCGGGGCAGGGUGAGUCGACCCCUAAGGCGAGGCCGAAAGGCGUAGUCGAUGGGAAACAGGUUAAUAUUCCUGUACUUGGUGUUACUGCGAAGGGGGGACGGAGAAGGCUAUGUUGGCCGGGCGACGGUUGUCCCGGUUUAAGCGUGUAGGCUGGUUUUCCAGGCAAAUCCGGAAAACCAAGGCUGAGGCGUGAUGACGAGGCACUACGGUGCUGAAGCGACAAAUGCCCUGCUUCCAGGAAAAGCCUCUAAGCAUCAGGUAACAUCAAAUCGUACCCCAAACCGACACAGGUGGUCAGGUAGAGAAUACCAAGGCGCUUGAGAGAACUCGGGUGAAGGAACUAGGCAAAAUGGUGCCGUAACUUCGGGAGAAGGCACGCUGAUAUGUAGGUGAAGCGACUUGCUCGUGGAGCUGAAAUCAGUCGAAGAUACCAGCUGGCUGCAACUGUUUAUUAAAAACACAGCACUGUGCAAACACGAAAGUGGACGUAUACGGUGUGACGCCUGCCCGGUGCCGGAAGGUUAAUUGAUGGGGUUAGCGGUAACGCGAAGCUCUUGAUCGAAGCCCCGGUAAACGGCGGCCGUAACUAUAACGGUCCUAAGGUAGCGAAAUUCCUUGUCGGGUAAGUUCCGACCUGCACGAAUGGCGUAAUGAUGGCCAGGCUGUCUCCACCCGAGACUCAGUGAAAUUGAACUCGCUGUGAAGAUGCAGUGUACCCGCGGCAAGACGGAAAGACCCCGUGAACCUUUACUAUAGCUUGACACUGAACAUUGAGCCUUGAUGUGUAGGAUAGGUGGGAGGCUUUGAAGUGUGGACGCCAGUCUGCAUGGAGCCGACCUUGAAAUACCACCCUUUAAUGUUUGAUGUUCUAACGUUGGCCCGUAAUCCGGGUUGCGGACAGUGUCUGGUGGGUAGUUUGACUGGGGCGGUCUCCUCCUAAAGAGUAACGGAGGAGCACGAAGGUUGGCUAAUCCUGGUCGGACAUCAGGAGGUUAGUGCAAUGGCAUAAGCCAGCUUGACUGCGAGCGUGACGGCGCGAGCAGGUGCGAAAGCAGGUCAUAGUGAUCCGGUGGUUCUGAAUGGAAGGGCCAUCGCUCAACGGAUAAAAGGUACUCCGGGGAUAACAGGCUGAUACCGCCCAAGAGUUCAUAUCGACGGCGGUGUUUGGCACCUCGAUGUCGGCUCAUCACAUCCUGGGGCUGAAGUAGGUCCCAAGGGUAUGGCUGUUCGCCAUUUAAAGUGGUACGCGAGCUGGGUUUAGAACGUCGUGAGACAGUUCGGUCCCUAUCUGCCGUGGGCGCUGGAGAACUGAGGGGGGCUGCUCCUAGUACGAGAGGACCGGAGUGGACGCAUCACUGGUGUUCGGGUUGUCAUGCCAAUGGCACUGCCCGGUAGCUAAAUGCGGAAGAGAUAAGUGCUGAAAGCAUCUAAGCACGAAACUUGCCCCGAGAUGAGUUCUCCCUGACUCCUUGAGAGUCCUGAAGGAACGUUGAAGACGACGACGUUGAUAGGCCGGGUGUGUAAGCGCAGCGAUGCGUUGAGCUAACCGGUACUAAUGAACCGUGAGG
rnacentral:rRNA from 1 species